AUCGAACGCUGGCGGCAGGCCUAACACAUGCAAGUCGAACGAGUGGCGGACGGGUGAGUAAUGUCUGGGAAACUGCCCGAUGGAGGGGGAUAACUACUGGAAACGGUAGCUAAUACCGCAUACCCUCGGAUCUGCCCAGAUGGGAUUGGCUAGUAGGUGGGGUAACGGCUCACCUAGGCGACGAUCCCUAGCUGGUCUGAGAGGAUGAGCAGCCACACUGGAACUGAGGCACGGUCCAGACUCCUACGGGAGGCAGCAGUGGGGAAUAUUGCACAAUGGGCGAAAGCCUGAUGCAGCCAUGCCGCGUGUAUGAAGAAGGACUUCGGGUUGUAAAGUACUUUCAGCGGGGAGGCGUUACCCGCAGAAGAAGCACCGGCUAACUCCGUGCCAGCAGCCGCGGUAAUUC
rnacentral:rRNA from 1 species